rnacentral:rRNA from 1 species
CUAAGGUAGCAUAAUCAUUUGUUAUUUAAUUGAUAACUGGAAUGAAAGGUUAAACUAGCUUAUUAAGUUUGUAAGAUUAAAUAGUAUUUUAAAGUUAAGGUAAGAAUUCUUUAAUUUACUAGGGGACGAUAAGACCCUAGAAGCUUAACGAGCGGAAAAUUUUGUUUUACAAGAUUGUUUGUUUUACUGGGGCGGUAAAAGUAAUUAAGCUAUUUAGUAGUUAUAAGAUCCUUUAAAUAAAGAUAAAGUGGGGAAGUUACUCUAGGGAUAA